AUUGAACGCUGGCGGCAGGCCUAACACAUGCAAGUCGAGCGGAUGAGUGGAGCUUGCUCCAUGAUUCAGCGGCGGACGGGUGAGUAAUGCCUAGGACUCUGCCUGGUAGUGGGGGACAACGUUCCGAAAGGGGCGCUAAUACCGCAUACGUCCUACGGGAGAAAGUGGGGGAUCUUCGGACCUCACGCUAUCAGAUGAGCCUAGGUCGGAUUAGCUAGUUGGUGAGGUAAAGGCUCACCAAGGCGACGAUCCGUAACUGGUCUGAGAGGAUGAUCAGUCACACUGGAACUGAGACACGGUCCAGACUCCUACGGGAGGCAGCAGUGGGGAAUAUUGGACAAUGGGCGAAAGCCUGAUCCAGCCAUGCCGCGUGUGUGAAGAAGGUCUUCGGAUUGUAAAGCACUUUAAGUUGGGAGGAAGGGCAGUAAGUUAAUACCUUGCUGUUUUGACGUUACCGACAGAAUAAGCACCGGCUAACUCUGUGCCAGCCGCCGCCGUUAAAA
rnacentral:rRNA from 1 species